rnacentral:rRNA from 1 species
UACGUAGGGUGCAAGCGUUAAUCGGAAUUACUGGGCGUAAAGCGUGCGCAGGCGGCUUUGCAAGACAGAUGUGAGAUCCCCGGGCUUAACCUGGGAACUGCAUUUGUGACUGCAUGGCUGGAGUGCGGCAGAGGGGGAUGGAAUUCCGCGUGUAGCAGUGAAAUGCGUAGAGAUGUGGAGGAAUACCGAUGGCGAAGGCAGCCUCCUGGGCCAACACUGACGCUCAUGCACGAAAGCGUGGGGAGCAAACAGG